rnacentral:piRNA from 1 species
UAGAAAAACUAGACCAAAGGAAGUUAACAGGA